UACAGAGGGUGCGAGCGUUAAUCGGAAUUACUGGGCGUAAAGCGUGCGUAGACGGUAGCGUAAGUCAGAUGUGAAAGCCCCGGGCUCAACCUGGGAACUGCAUUUGAGACUGCUCUGCUCGGGUGCGGAAGAGGGAAGCGGAAUUCCCGGUGUAGCGGUGAAAUGCGCAGAUAUCGGGAGGAACACCAGUGGCGAAGGCGGCACUCUGGGCCGGAACUGACGCUGAGGAGCGAAAGCGUGGGGAGCGAACAGG
rnacentral:rRNA from 1 species